rnacentral:rRNA from 1 species
GUGCACCAGGCGCGAAUCCUCCGCAAUGCGCGCAAGCGCGACGGGGCCAUCCCGAGUGCCGCUCGCUGAGGGCGGCUUUUCUCCGGUGUAAGUAGCCGGAGGAAUAAGGAGAGGGCAAGUCUGGUGUCAGCCGCCGCGGUAAUACCAGCUCUCCGAGUGGUGGGGACGAUUAUUGGGCCUAAAGCGUCCGUAGCCGGCUUGACAAGUCUCCCGUUAAAUCCAGCGGCCUAACCGCUGGGCUGCGGGAGAUACUGUCAAGCUUGGGGGCGGGAGAGGCCAGCGGUAUUCCCGGGGUAGGGGUGAAAUCCGUUAAUCCCGGGAGGACCACCAGUGGCGAAGGCGGCCGGCCAGAACGCGCCCGACGGUGAGGGACGAAAGCUGGGGGAGCGAACCGGAUUAGAUACCCGUGUAGU